rnacentral:rRNA from 1 species
GGCUGAAAUUCGCCUUUAUGGAGCCGGAAUUGCUAGUAAUGGCAGGUCAGCAUACUGCCGUGAAUACGUUCCCGGGCCUUGUACACACCGCCCGUCACACCAUGAGAGUUGGAAAUACCCGAAGCCUGUGAGCUGACCGUAAGGGGGCAGCAGUCGAAGGUAGAGCCAAUGAUUGGGGUGAAGUCGUAACAAGGUAGC